AAUACCUUCUGACAUUGCCCCCCACCACCCCAGAACUUCUGCAGCCGAGCUGCGCUGGAGGCCCUGGGGUCCUGUCUGAACAACAAGUACUCGGAGGGUUAUCCUGGCAAGAGGUGAGGGCUGGAGGGCAGUGUCAGGGAUGGUGCUCCCAGUGGGGGAACCCACCUGUACCUUCCCAGUGUUCAUUGAGGAGUGAACUUCCCAGUCCUUUGCUGAUGGUUGAGAGUCCUUUCUCUGUGCCCUCAUUACCCCUCUCCCACGGCAGAUACUAUGGGGGAGCAGAGGUGGUGGAUGAAAUUGAGCUUCUGUGCCAGCACCGGGCCUUGGAAGCCUUUGACCUGGAUCCUGCACAGUGGGGAGUCAAUGUCCAGCCCUACUCCGGGUCCCCAGCCAACCUGGCCGUCUACACAGCCCUUCUGCAACCUCACGACCGGAUCAUGGGGCUGGACCUGCCCGAUGGGGGCCAUCUUACCCACGGCUACAUGUCUGACGUCAAGCGGAUAUCAGCCACGUCCAUCUUCUUCGAGUCUAUGCCCUAUAAGCUCAACGGCUUUAGCUGUUUGUGUGUCUGUCCAGCCCAAAACUGGCCUCAUUGACUAUGACCAGCUGGC
rnacentral:sRNA from 1 species